UACGUAGGGGGCAAGCGUUGUCCGGAUUUAUUGGGCGUAAAGAGCGUGUAGGCGGCCAAACAGGUCCACUGUGAAAACUCGAGGCUCAACCUCGAGAGGUCGGUGGAAACCGUCUGGCUAGAGUCCGGAAGAGGAGAGUGGAAUUCCACGUGUAGCAGUGAAAUGCGUAGAUAUCGGGAGGAACACCAGUGGCGAAGGCGACUACCUGGCCUGUUCUUGACGCUGAGGCGCGAAAGCUAGGGGAGCAAACGGG
rnacentral:rRNA from 1 species